rnacentral:lncRNA from 1 species
GUGGGAGUGAAUUAUCUCACCCACUAUAACAAUUUCAACGGUCCAUCAAUCUCAAGAUCGUGCGAUCUCACAUCUAACAAUCUAGUUGUCUACCAUCUUUCUAUAUAAACAACCAGAGCUCCGAAGACCCAGGUGAGUCAGAUCAAAUUCCUCUCAGAGAAUCCGUUGCUGCUCUUUUGUUCUCUACUUUUCUGACUUGAGCGUCAAAGAAUUCUCGUCGAAACCACAAUCUCCGGUUUAAAAUUUGAAUUGUAGGUCACUUCAGCGCUGGCAUCCCUGUAUGAGUACCAGACGUCCAUCUUCUGACCUCAGC